GUCAGGUGUGGUGGCACCCGCCUGUAAUCCCAGCAGCUUGGGAGGCUGAGGCAGGAGGAUCACAAGUUCAAAGCCAGCCUCAGCAAUUUAACAAGGCUGUAUGCAACUUAGUAGAUCCUGUCUCUA
rnacentral:sRNA from 1 species